rnacentral:rRNA from 1 species
CCCUUAGAUGUCCUGGGCUGCACGCGCGCUACACUGAUGUGUCCAGUAAGCACCUAACCUCUUCCGAAAGGAACGGGUAACCUUUGCAAAGCACAUCGUGAUGGGGAUAGGUCACUGUAAUCGUUGACCUUUAACGAGGAAUUCCUAGUACGCGCAAGUCAUCAGCUUGCAUGGAUUACGUCCCUGCCCUUUGUACACACCGCCCGUCGCACCUACCGAUUGAGUGGUCCGGUGAAGACCUCGGACUGUGGCUGCGGUUGCUUGAUUGCGACUGUGUGCUGUGGGAAGUUGUCUAAAUCUUAUCACUUAGAGGAAGGUGAAGUCGUAACA